UACAGAGACUGCAAGCGUUAUUCGGAUUCACUGGGCGUAAAGGGUGCGCAGGCGGCCUGUGUGUGAGGCGUGAAAGCCCGGAGCUCAACUCCGGAAUUGCACCUCAAACUACACGGCUAGAGCAUUGGAGAGGGUAGCGGAAUUCACGGUGUAGCAGUGAAAUGCGUAGAUAUCGUGAGGAACACCAGAGGCGAAGGCGGCUACCUGGACAAUUGCUGACGCUCAGGCACGAAAGCGUGGGGAGCAAAAGGG
rnacentral:rRNA from 1 species